GACAGAGGUCCCGAGCGUUAGGCGGAAUCACUGGGCUUAAAGCGUGUGUAGGCGGAUCGUUAAGUGCCUUGUGAAAUCCCAUGGCUUAACCAUGGAACUGCUUGGCAUACUGGCGAUCUUGAGCCACUUAGGGGCAACCGGAACAAAUGGUGGAGCGGUGAAAUGCGUAGAUAUCUGGAGGAACACCGGUGGCGAAGGCGGCAUCCUGGACCGGCAUUGACGCUGAUGAGCGAAAGCCAGGGGAGCAAACGGG
rnacentral:rRNA from 1 species